rnacentral:lncRNA from 1 species
GGCCACCUCCGGCCACCGCCCAACCCCGCCGGACCUCCCCCGCAACCCCCUCGCCCUCCGCCGGCUUUCCCUCGCCGCCCUAGCCGCCGGAGCAAGCCCGAUCGGCUCCGUCCAGCAGACCCACGGAGUGGGUUUCAGCGACUUCGGGCCCGCUUUUGGGUCGUUUCCCGGCCCCGAACCCGAGCCGUGCUUUGGGAACAAUCGUUCCUCGCGUCGCCGCCGUCGGAUUGAUCCGAUUUGCGGGCGAUUUGGUGAGUAAUCUCACUAAUCUCGGAUUAGUUGGCUAAUUAUGCUUUAGGUUGGUUUAGUUUUAAUUAAUUAUGUUUAGGUUGUUAGAUUAGAAGUAAUUAGCAAUUAUUAGUCAAUUGUGAUGCGAUUUAGAUAAAUUGAUUGUGCAAUUAACAAGUAGACGUGGUCUACUAUUUAUUGGGAGUGUCUCGGGAAUUUUCGGACCCCUAAUCGGGCUUCAAUUUGGCGAUUCGGGCCUAAGUGAGAUUUUUGGGCAUUUAAAUAUUAAUUUUCGGAAUUAAAUUAAAUAAUUAUUUAUUUUCCGAAAAUUCAAGGGAGAUGGUUCGGAACCGGAAUAUUAUGCUGAUGACCGUGGUGAAGUCUGUUUAUUUAAUCGGGCUUUAUUUUAAGCUAAAUUGAAUUUUUAAUAUUAAUUAUUUAAUUUUAGAAAUUAAUUAAUUAAUUAUUUAUUUCCUGAAAAUUCAACUGAGAUGGCCUGGAACCGGAAAAUUAUGCUGAUGACCGUGGUGAAGCCCGUUUGUUUAAUUGUGUUUUAGUUUGUGCUAAUUUGAAUUAUUAGUAUUUAUUAAUUAAAUUUCGAAAUUAAUUAAUUAUUUAUUUAUUUUUCGGAAAUUAAGAUUGAGAUGGCCGACGACCGAAAUCUCGUGCCGAUUGUCGUGACGCAGUCCGUUUAUUUAUUUGAGCUUUGAAUUGUGCCAAAUUAAAUCUUGCAAGGGGUCGAGUGGGACCGUAAAGCCAUUAAAUCUUGCAAGGGGUCGAGUGGGACCGUAAAGCCAUUAAAUCUUGCAAGGGGUCGAGUGGGACCGUAAAGCCAUUAAAUCUUGCAAGGGGUCGAGUGGGACCGUAAAGCCAUUAAAUCUUGCAAGGGGUCGAGUGGGACCGUAAAGCCAUUAAAUCUUGCAAGGGGUCGAGUGGGACCGUAAAGCCAUUAAAUCUUGCAAGGGGUCGAGUGGGACCGUAAAGCCAUUAAAUCUUGCAAGUGGUCGAGUGGGACCGUAAAGCCAUUAAAUCUUGAAAGUGGUCGAGUGGGACCGUAAAGCCAUUAAAUAUUGAAUGUUGCUGAGUGGGACUCUGAAUAGCAAUAGUUUGAAUGACCGGGAAAUGGUCAGGUUGACAUGUAAUCGACAAGGUCGAUUGAUCAUUGUUUUGAUUUGAUGUUGUGAAUUGAUUGACUGAAUGGGAAUGACCGUGAGUGGUCUUGUUGACUUGUCAUCGACUAGGUCGAUUUGAUUGAUGCCUUGAUCGGUGAUACGAUUGCUUGAGUGCCUAUUGUGAAUUGUACUGACUUGCAGGUGGGAUAUGAUGCUAAGGUACGCCUUCUGACCUAUGUGUGUUUAGGCAGCCUUUAGUAUAAUGGUUUACUAAUCGGGCUUAGUGGGGUAGAACUCGCUGAGACGUAGUCUCAUCCCAGUUUGGGGAAAACCAUUUCAGGACCCCGCUAAGGAGCUGAGGAGGAAGAGUUGGAGAAGGAUUUUGGGAGAAGAAGACAAUCUCGAGAGGGCCCGUGAGUACGGCCUAGAUGGACUGAAAUUUUAUCUUCUUUGAUAUCUCCAUUUUGAUGUGAAUAGAGUUUAGAAUAAAAAAUUGUGAAGUGUUCUGGUUUGUGGUUUGUAUAAAAGUUUGGUUAUAAAUUUUUCAAUAUGAAAAAUAUGGCCCUGCUUUUCUAUCCCAUCGAUUUAUUGUCUGGGGAUUUUUAAUUGCUUCCGCAUGUGCUUAAAAAUGAAAGGGUCGGCGAUACAUUGUCCUGGGAUAUCGCAUUAUAAAAUCGACCAAG